UUGAACAUGCCAGAAGGACAGUAAACAGGAAAUAGCAGGAUUCUGUAUCCUUUUGUGGGCUGGAAAAAGCGGAAAAAGCAGAAAAAGCCUUUCACAGCUGCAUUCCUGACCUUUACCAAUGAAUGAAUAUUUGUCUAGAGGUUCACUGAACCACAUAUUCCGUGCCCAGCCACAUCUGCAAGUACUGUAAGCAGACACCACUUCUGAAAAUAGGACCCACAAAAGGUGUUGCUAAGUGAGAGUAUGUAAAAACAUUUUUGUGCAGUGCAGUUUCAAACCCUCAGUCUGGUAAGGAAAUCAGAGAACUAAUAAAUCAUAAGAGUUCCUCUGAUUGUAUAUGAACUUUUGUAGUUAUUUGCACCUAUAUUGAAAGGGAAAAAUCUUUGGAGCUAAUUUAUUUUUUGUGUAUUACAGCUGAUAGUACUCACAUUGAUCUGUUUAGACACAAUGAACUUAAAAUGAUUUGAAGUUAUAGGGUUAAAAACCUCCUUAGUUUAGAAGGAUAAAAAGUGUUAAGAAUCCACAGAAUGCAGUAGGUGUUUACUAUUAUUUUCUGCUUCCUGUUACUGCAGUCUAAAAAAGAAAAAGUCACUGAGCUAAUUAAAUUAUAUAAGGAAGACAUCAAGAAACAAUAUUAAAAGAAAAUUGGUUUUGACUACAGUCUGUAUUUAUGCUGAAGUAACGAUGAGCAAUAUCAUUCAGGUUUCAUUUGUUCAAAGUCCACAAGAUAAUGUACAUAUUCAGCAAAAGAAAAAUAUACAUCCAGGCAACAAACUACUAUGUGAAAGUAAUUUCAUGCUCAAUGACAACAUAUGGAACCUUGUUUUUUCACACUGGAUGAACUUCUGUCUUACCAUUGCUUGACUGGUCUUCCCAUUUUUGUCAGUAGCAGCACAGGAAAGUAAGCAAAAUAAAAUGAAAAGUUUGGUGUCAUUCUGAGAGCAACAAGAAGCACUAGACAAUGCCUGCUGUAAACUCAGUGUUCAUCCUGGCACCAGGAAGGAACUGCAAAAUCAUUUCUCUGAAAUUUUAAUGAACUCCAACGAGAAUGCUGCUGGUUAAUGGACUUUAUGCAAUGGGCGGAAACUCAUCCAUUCACAAUCCAACUUUUCGUGGGGCUGGCUUGGUUUGCUAAUAUUCAUUAUCACUUUACAUCUACCUCUUUUGAAUGCUGGUGUGGAUGCAGCUGAUCUGAAAAAUCUAACCUUGUGCUUGACUUUGUUCCAAGCCAGGAUGUGUGCAUGGAGCACCAGAGGGAUCUCAGUGGAAUUUGAUUGCAAUUCUUUUACUGUGUGGACUGUGUGAGCAUGUCUGUACCACCCAGUCAAUGCUACAUCACAUCAAGAUACUGGAAUAAGGUCUGCAUGAGGCAGGAUUUGCAUGGGAAGCAGCACAGCCCUGGAAUGUAGCAUUGCACCCAAGCUAAGGUACCCCUUGUUUCAGUAGGGUCCUUUGCCUCCGGGGGACACCAAACAAGCAGAGACACAGUGUUUGUAGGUCCCUUCUUCUGACAUCCUUGUGUAGUAGCACAGUGUGAAGUAAAGGUGUAAUUCCAGCUUUUUCUGUUGCAGCUGUUUCACUUCCCAGAAAUACUUUAGUGCUCACAAAGAUACAGAGCAUGUGGGAACUACUGUUUAGAUUUUGAGCCAGUGAGCCCAUGCAUACCAGUAACAAUCACAAAUACAACAGCUUUUUCUGUAUAAAAUAAAAGUAUGCUUAUCCAAAUCAGUUUACAGGAUUGGAAACUUAAAAAAAAAAUUCACAAUUUCCGUUUCAUGGAACCGUUUUGAACAACUUUUAAUUCACGUGACAAGGAUUUUAAGACUUUAACAUUUUUAUCAUUAAACAACAUUUUAUUUCAAAUUAAAAUAAAAUAUUCUUUCUAAAUGCAUGACAAUAAAACCUGAUGUCUUAGCUCCCCAUACUUGUUCCUCUGAGAAAAUAAAGUGUCAAAUACCCUAAAUUCCACACUCUGGAGCAAUUUAGAUCUCCUUAGAGAUCACAGUUUGAACUACAAAUGCAAUAAGGGCUGCAUCCUGCUGUAGCUGAAAUCCUUCCUAAGUCUACUUCUGCUUUUCAAUCUCUCUAAUUUUUCAUUAGAUCAAGAGUCACACAUUUUUGUUGGCAGUAAAGCAAUUCCAAUUUGAACUGCCUUCUGUCUUCAAUAGGAAUUUUCCUAAAGUACAGAAAUAAAAAUGUAAAACUUUGCUGUGUUUCAUUACUUUCAUUCUUUUGAACAUUGCGGCUCUGAAAGCUCUGUGUGAAAUUAUUAGAAGAUGGGUUUUGAAAUGCUUGUGAAAGUAGAUGCAUAUAUGGGACUCAAAGGGCCUUAUUUAAAAAAGAAAUUUGCCAGUUACCCAGAUCUCUGGUUGGUUAUGCCCAUUCAAGGAUACAGAAUCCAUCAUUCCUAUGAUUAUUUUUACAUCUGAACUUUUUUUUUAUACUAGAUAGACUUGAAACUUUCAGGGUCAUUUGCCCAGCAUGUAGUUGAAUGUCCUGUGCUAUAGAUUCCAAUUAGCAAGACCAUGUUCAAUGGUCCUACACCUCCAAUGCUGUCUAACUGCUUUCCACUUGGCUUUAUAUGUUUCUUCUUUGUUGCAGCUGCAACCAGGUCUAUCUACCCUUUGAUAGAAAAAUUUCAAUUACCCCAGGGAGAAGCUUUUAGCUUUAUUAAGCAUUGAAGUCUACACAUUUGUUCUUCUGUUGAAGAGCAGUUCAAAAGGAGACUUUCUGAGGAAGUAAUCUGAUAAAUUAGGAUAAAUCUUGUGGACUUUCACUGCUAAUGUUUUUCCUGUAGUCUGAGCCUAAGAAUCUGCCAACUCAAUGUACAGUUAAGCAUUUCUUUAACACUUUUAGCCACUGACAGAUGUUUCUUAUACUUUACAAGUAAGUGGCUCUUCAGUGUUUUUUGAGACUGCUGUGCUCUCAGCAUAAAAUUGAUGUCACAGAAGGCUGAAGAGCUGUGCUCCAGCCUUGAUAGACAGUGACAGAAAACUGUUCCCAUCUGGCAGCUCUGUACUGGCCUCUGAGUAAACUAAUGGUUUCCUUUCUGAGAUGAUGGGUGUCAACUCAUCACCUCCUUGCUGCCCAGAGUAACCUUAGUUAUCUCAGGAAAAGCAAGGCCUGCAUACACCAGGUCUCUAAUCUGCCCUCGCUUUGUUGUCAUUGCCCUCUCGGGGGAGUGGGGUGGCCAAGUGAGGUGGAGGAAAGCUGGCAAUAACACUGUUGUAAGUCACAUCUCUUUGUAGAUAAAAAAAAAGGAGCUGCUCUUCCUAAUGCUGUCAAUCUUGUAUUUCAUUUCAUUGGUGGGUUCAUUUAUGCCAGUAAAUAAGGCUGUCAUUUCUGCUUUUUAGUGUUUGAGAAUUCCACAAAAGUUUCACGUCGCUGGUUUGAAAUCGAAUCUUUCAUUAUUGUCUCUAUCUUGCAAAUUAAUUUAUUACUGUAUUUGAAGUCCUAAAUGCCUCUUGAGAGAGCUGAACAUACAGUCUAACAAUCUACCCAUAAAGAGCAAACAUGAGUUACACAUUUAAAGAAGAU